rnacentral:lncRNA from 1 species
CCCAGAUUGCUCAUUGCUCAUUACUAUAUUAUCUAUAAUAACAUUUGCCGUAGGUUCUUAGCUACAGUACUAACGCCGUGAAGAAACAUCGUUUAAAAAAGGGUAACCCACGUAAUCCAGUUCCACCGCAUCCCACGACGUCCUCCGCUUCCUCCCUCUUCUCUCUGUCUACGACUGCUACGUCCACACGUCGUCGUCCCUCCCUUCAAUUUCGAUUCCGAUGAUCACGCUUGAUGCUUUCGUUUGAAAUUAGGGCUCCAACAGGUAACUUGGUAGAAUCUUCCUCGAAACAAAGUAUAUCAUCAGUUCCAACGUUUGAUGUGGCGUUUUUGGUUGCCAUAAACAAUAUGAUGGUCCCAAAUUGCAGGCCCUAGGUUGCAGUUAGCCUUUUAAUUGUUCCCCAUUCCACAUGUUAUGGUUUUCACUUAUGUUUACCGGCUUACUAACAUUGUGUACCAAAAUGAAUCCGAGAGGGGCCUUUGGCAAGCGUUCAACAAAGUUUAGUUCUUAUUAAAAUGUGUAUCUGCACAUGGUCGUCGUUUGCGUAGGGUAUUAUGAAUGUUAAGAGUCAGUGAUAGGUGAUUGAUCUGCUUCGUCUCAAGAACAACACACCCCCACUUUCUGUGCUCCUUUACUUUGUAACGAUGGUUUAGUGUUAAUGAUUUUGAUGUGCUUUUUUGAUGUGCUCUCGGCACCUUUAACAUAUCGAAAAACUAUAAAAUACGAUCGCAUGAUUUUGGACGUCGAUGGGUCAGCUAAACUUUUGUAAAGAAAUUGGGGUUCCCCGCAAAGCGGGGGUCGGAAAAUUCUAGUAUAUUAACAAUUUAGGUAGCAUCUUGGCUAUAGUAGCCAAUUAAACCUUCAUUAUAAAGAUAUUUACUAAAGUACCAUUUGAGUAUCAUCUCUUUCAUCAAACAGAUCCAAGUAUUGGAUAUUUUUUUUCUUUU